UAAAGAAGCCUUCCGAAUUGUAGUCUAGAAAGGCGCCAUCGGCCGCGUCCGUCGCUCAAAUCCCUUGGAACGGGGUAUCGGAGAAGGUGAGAAUCCUGUGCCGUGGCGGAUAGCGGUCGCACGAUGCGUCCUUGUCGAGUCGGGUUGCUUGGGAUUGCAGCUUGAAGUGGGUGGUAAAUUCCAUCUAAAGCUAAAUACUGGCGAGAGACCGAUAGCGAACAAGUACCGUGAGGGAAAGAUGCAAAGAACUUUGAAAAGAGAGUUAAAGAGUGCUUGAAAUCGGCAAGAGGAAACCCGUUUGCGCCCGGCCUCGCGUCGUCGACUCAGCCGUUCUUUUGAGCGGUGCACUUUGUCGUCGCGGGUCAGCGUUCGCUCUUUCGGCGUGACACGGCGUACCGCAGGGCCUUUUGGCGAUCGGUUCGCACUCUCGCGGGAGGGGCGUUGGCUGACGGAACG
rnacentral:rRNA from 1 species